UUCUGACCGUAAACGAUGCCAACUAUCAAUCCGCCAGUGGCUUUUAGUCAUUGGCGGGCGGAUCGACGGAAACGAAAGUUUUUCGGUUCCGGGGGAAGUAUGGUUGCAAAGCUGAAACUUAAAGGAAUUGACGGAAGGGCACCACCAGGAGUGGAGCUUGCGGCUUAAUUUGACUCAACACGGGAAACCUCACCCGGCCAGUACAUCAUAAGGAUUGACAGAUUGAAAGCUCUUUCAUGAUUUGAUGAAUGGUGGUGCAUGGCCGUUCUUAGUUCGUGGCGUGAGUCGUCUGCUUAAUUGCGAUAACGAGCGAGACUCCAACUGCUAAAUACCGUAGUAAUUAUUUGUUGCCAACGGUUCUUAGCUGGAUUCGCGGCUUCAAGUCGCAAGAAAUGGAGCAAUAACAGGUCUGUGAUGCCCUUAGAUGUUCGGGGCGGCACGCGUGCUACAAUGAUGACAACAGCAUGCUUGUGCUCGACCGACAGGUCUUGCCAAACAUAUGAGAUGUUAUUAUGGCUGGAAUUGAGUGUUGAAACUUUCUCUCAUGAACGAGGAAUUCCAAGUAAAUGCAAGUCAUCAACUUGCAUUG
rnacentral:rRNA from 1 species